AGGCAGUGAAGGAAUAUUGGUCAAUGGCCUAACAGGCCGAACCAGCAACUUGGAGGAAUGUAUAGGGAAAGCUGGUAAAAUGUAAUGUACCUAGUAGUAUUAGUAAUUAAUACGAGAUUAACUAAGUUAAUUAAAAUUCAAGGUGGAUAUUGAUUAUGACAAUAUUUGCUUAUGUCUUGACCAAGUCACGUGCCAGCAGUCGCGGUAAUACGUGGAAGAUUAGUGUUAUUCAUCUUUAUCUGGUUUAAAGGGUACCUAGACGGUUAAUCAAACACAAAUAUGUAUUAAUUAACUAGAGUUUAAUACAAGAAAGAUUGAGAACAGUGAGUGUAGAGAUAAAAUUCUGUCAUACCAUUUAGGAACUGGUAAAGGCGAAGGCUACUUUUUAUGUAAAAACUGACGUUGAGGGACGAAGGCUUGUAUCCAAGUAACAGGAUUAGAUACCCCAGUAUUUUGAGCAGACAAUGAUGAGUGUCAUAUGCAAGAAAGUUUUUUGUGUAUAAAUGAAAGUGUAAGCACUCCACCUCAAGAGUAACGUGGCAACACGGGAACUGAAAUCAUUAGGCCGUUUCUGAAACUCGUAGUGAAGUAUGUUGUUUAAUUUGAUGGUCCGCAAAAAACCUUACCACACCUUGAAUUACUGCAAAAAAGCAUUUAUCUGCUAUAGUAGCAACAAGCGUUGCACGGCUGUCUUCAGUCAAUGUUGUGAAACUAUGGUUAGAUCCAUUUAAUUGACGUAAACCCUUACUUUAUUUAUUAUAAAGUAGUUCGCCGCUAUAUUGGUAGUGAUAUAAGGGACAAAGACAAGUCAUCAUGGCCUGAACAGUGUGGGCUAUAGACGUGCCA
rnacentral:rRNA from 1 species